rnacentral:rRNA from 1 species
GAGGCGUUGAGCUAACCAAUACUAAUUGCCCGUGAGGCUUGACCAUAUAACACCCAAACAAUU